rnacentral:tRNA from 1 species
AUUUAAAUAGCUUAAAUAUUAGAGCAUAACAUUGAAGAUGUUAGGGCGAUUGGAAAAUCUUUAAAUA